UCCUACUAAGAUGGAAUUCAAAUAAUGCAUCGUUCAAACAUCCCUGCUUGUUUUUCAAACUCUUUAUUUGUCCAUAUUGUUAUUUUCUCUUACAUGUGCUACUUCAAAACAAAUACCAAUCUGCUGAUGACAGUCCCUUGCUGAAAAUGCUUCAGUGGCUCUCCAUGGCCCUUAAAGUCAAGUACAAAGUCUACAAGCGGAAAAGUGAUCUGCAAAGCCCUUCAGGAUCUGACCCCAGGUCACUUGUCUAGUCAAGGGAUGGCUAUUUUUUGUUGUUUUGCUUUUCAGUUCCUCAAAUAUUCAAAGCUUUCUUUUGCCUCUGAGCAUUUGUUCCUACUGUUCCUUCUGCUUCUGUAUCUCUUCAUCUUGGUCCGAUUAGCCCUUACUCAUAUCCUUCCAGUUUCAGUCUAAAUGUCACUCGUUCCAGAAACCACUACUGACCCCCCCAAGUCUAUGUCAUGCACCCUUUCUUCUUGGCAUCUGACACUUCUUGGCAUCUGACACUUGGCGAAACUUCCCUGUUUUGCAGCUUUUACCCACUUUGCCAUAGCUGCCUGUUUACUUGUGGUACCACUGGAUUUAGGACAGAAGAAAUUGGGAGUUCCUCAAUAAGAGAGCUAUAGUUUGCUUGGUCCUGUGACCUUGUUUCCUAGGCAGAGGCUUAGGAACUAAAGAAAAAAAUGCAAACAGGAAGAAGAAACUUUGCAGAUACAUUUGUAAAUGAUUGUUCAAGGAUGGAGUACACUCCUUCCCGUGCCUUGGUCCUCCAUUACCCCAGCCCCUGUCAAUUUAGACAAACCUCCAGAAAGAAGGAACUUGGCUGACAUUGACCAAGAUUAAAUUUCAGUUCCCAGGCAAAGUGAGGUCUUAAAAUAGAAACUAAUCUAUAUGGGGCAUGGUGGCUCAUGCCUGUAAUCCCAGCACUUUCGGAGGUCAAGGAGGGAGGAUCACUUGAGACCACGAGUUUGAGACCAGUCUGAGGAACAUAAUGAGACCCUGUCAUCAGUAUUUUUAUUGGUUUGUUUCUUUUUUGGUUAUGCAUACUGAAAGUAAAUCAACAUAUUAAAAAGCAAGAGAAAGAGAUCAGAAAAGGAACGACAUUUGUUAGUGGUUUCUGAUUUAUGAGUCUGAAGGACCUGUCACAUUGAGCCUCGGCAUGAUAUUAAUUAGCUGCAUGGCUGAAACGCCUUGUCAGUGUCGCACAUUAAAGACGCACCUUGCAGCCGGGAAGGAGAGACUCUGAAGAGAGGGGAGGGGCGGCUGCAAAUACAAACCACGCUGAUCACUUUUGCCUGCAUCUCCACACUGCUAACAAAAGGCAACUCACCGAGGCACACUUUCCGAUUCUUGGUUUGUAAAAGCUGGUGAGAAUAUCAAUGAAGCCCCACCUAAUUUUUGCCUAUUAAUAAUUCAGCUCCAGAAAGUGAAAAAUAUGAAAAACACAACCAGUUUUUCAGUCAAUAAGAAAGGCCUUUUUUUUUUUUUUAAUUUGGAGUCCUAUGCAAGUGGCCUUGUCAUGGCAGGGCCUUGACCAGCUCACAGCCGGUGUUCCAUUUACAGUAACAGGGCGUGGCAGGUUGCGCAAUAGGGCUGAACGGCGCAGUGCUCAGAGGAAGCCCCGACUGUCACGUUGUGCACGGAGUCUUGCAGUCUCUACAGGGGCCAAGAGCUGAGUCCAUUUUCAGCCCCUCCACUUCUUCAGUGACAUAGUCAUCCUCUCCGUUAAGGGACACUGGUGGAAACACGUGCUAAAGCUAAAGAAGCUAAACAAAUGCUGGGUGUUUUCAGGAAGGCUACUGAAAACAUAGCAGAGAAGCCAGCUUACUCUUGAUCCAAACCUCACUAGGCAUGUUUGGUGCCAUUCUGGGUGCCACAUCUUAGGAAGAAGGCACAGAGCUGGGCAAGAAUUCUUUCAGGUGGAUCUCAUGUGGGCCACAGAUUGGUCUAUUAAUUACAGUUGUAACCACCCAACUUCCCCAUGUUCCAGUCCCCAGUUGUCCACUGAACCCAAUCCUGUCUCCCACCUUGUCACAGGAAAUUUGUUUUGCAACAGAAAACAUAAGAAAUUUUCCCUGCUUGGAAGAUACUCAUACAUACCAGAAACAAGUCAACAUUUUGAUUUCAAACAUCAAAAAAGGUGUCCAGAAAUCUCAAGAAUUUGAGACAUCCUAAGGAACUUUAAGUGCUGUGAGCCACAAGUAACAUCAAGAAAAGACAGGGAUGAAGAACCGCACUUACAAGCUAAGUAAGAUUAAACCCAGCAUGGAGAUAUAUGAAUUAAUAUGAACUCUGAGAAAGAAAUUGGUCAGCUAAAAAAUAUAUGGCUUUCCUGAAUAGACAAAAGAACAAAGAUUUUCCCUUUGAAUAGAAUGAGGCAAACCCACAAGUUAAAGUGUUUUUAAAGUGGCUCAAUAAUCACUUUGAAAACAGAUUCGGCAGGAAGCUUGCACCGAGUGAAGGAUUUAUAAAGAUUAUAGGAGAUAACACAAAGCUAUUUUAUCUCUUUAAAAAAAAUCAAAGGUGUAAGCUCAUCCUACACAUGUCAUUUGGACCAGACCAAGGCUGCUGUCAUGGAGGACCCACACCACAGCUUGGGAACCAUUCAUCUACCAGAGGGUCACAUGACUUCAAAUGACUCUUCUAGGGGCCACCUGCCAUGAUAGGGUACCAGCUCUUCCUCUGAAUUCCCAAUCCAUUUCUUGAGAACUACUGUUUCUAAUAAGCUCCUGUCUCGGCCUCCCAAGCUGCUGAUCUUUCAUUGAGUUUCAUUCAACUCUUCCAUUAAACUCAAUUCCAAUUAGCUCUGCCUUCUGUUUUCUUUAAAAGUAUAAGGAAGAUGACAACCUCUAUUUAAUACUAUAUUUUUAAUGGCUUUCAAAAAUCACGUAAGUGGUUAAAAGUCCAGAGGGACUCAAGAUCAGUGUUCACAGUCUAUUAACUUCUAACACAUUCUUCCAUUAUGCUUUGUGCUUUGAAAUAUUUGUCUUAAAACACAGUCUUAAAAACUGCAUUAAUUAUAAUAAUGUCAUUUUCUUCUUUUCAGAGUUUUUGUUCCAUGUGAGAUACCCACGCCACUUUAAAAAACAAACUAUCCUGACAUCUAAUUACUUUGUGAAUGAUUGUAAUGGCAAUAACAAUAGAGAUGGAAGAAUUUUGGAAACAAUACUAGUUUCACAGCUUUCAUGUGAGAUGCCAAGGUUUUAGCAUCGUCAGAUUGGCAAUGAGAUUGGAUAACUUCUGGGGUCUUUUUGAAAUUAUAGUGCUCUUUGAGGGUCAGAGGUCGAUUUGCUCAAAAUGGAUUUGCAAAGAGAAAAAAAAUUUAAUGUCACACUGCCAUGAUAAGUCAACCAACCAUCUCAUAUAUCAAAGGAGAGAGGCAGAGAAAGAAAAGGAGGAGGAUAAAGAAGAGGAGGAAGAGGACGAAAGGAAAACCAAGAGGAGGAGAAGCCACUUCUUACUUUGGAUUAAUGUGAAACUAAAUAGUUUACUACAUUUUAAGUGGGAAAAUGUUAGUUGAAAAGAUAUUUGUCAACCACAAACAUUUGAAAGGGAAGCAUUCCAAAGAUUUUCACUGUUUAUGUUCAAAUUACAACAUGUGCAGAAAGUUGUGCAACUGAAAAUCCUUUCAAACAACAGCUACAAAAGAGAUUGGUCAGUUAGGACAGGAAUAGAAAGUGGAAACUUAGAAGACUGGCUACUCCUUGUGUAUGAUUGCUGGGGUGAGUCUGUGCUGAGAACUUUUUACAAAGGGUGUCCUUUGCUGAUAUGAGAGGGGGGUGUCAAACUUUUGAGUGAUCACUGUGGGUCCUCAGCUUAGACAUCUUCUCUGGCCCAGGGAAAAGGGCUGAGGGGGUAGAGGUAUAAAAAUCAGAUAGCUCAGCACUUCGCUCCAAAGGAGCUGAAGGAGAGAGGAUUCCACUGCGUGUAUGUUUUCUCUUUCACGUCUCACUUUUGUUCUCUGCCAUCAGGAAAUGCAGUAGACAUUUGUCACCAGCAGCUCUUUGGAGACUUCAAUGUUCCUUCCUCCCAGGAUCCGAAAGGGGACUUCAGACACGGACUUGCCUAAGAUUUUCAUUUGAAUUUAGUACAUUAUGAGUUGUCAUAGUAUAAGAGGAUUGGAGGUUUGGAGGAUUGAUAGUGUUCUUAACUUCAGGGAGAAUCUAAGACACCAGGAGCUCAGAAGAAUGGAGUCUCAAGACAUCAGGCAAAUACCGAAGAGAUCAGAGCCAAGUUCUAAAGGGCAGCCAUUUCCCAAAUGUCAACCAAGAGCGAAGCCAAGAGAAUUAUGAUUUCCUGGCUAUACAAUGACAGGAAAAGCUUGAUCAAAGCUGGAGUGCAAGUUAAAAAGUGUAAGGUACUCAAGUGCUAGGGUCUGUGUCCAAGCCCAAUCAAUUGAUCAUUAGUUGUUUUUAACUUCAACGUUUCUUUUGCAACAGCACAUUUCGUAAUAGUUCUGGUACUGCACCCAUAGAUACUGUCACCUCUACUCUUUCUUCCAAUCACCAUUAGCAGAUGCCACAGGAUUCCUACUUCUGAAAGUUUUUGGGCCCUGCAGGUGGAAGACUGGAGAAGCCAAUAAAGUUUAAGGCUACAUUUUAUUCCAUCCACAAAUUUGGUGAAGGAGGAAAUGUUUACAAUUCUGCCAUGCCAUGAAUAGGAGUUUUCCACCGGGUGUACACUGCUGUUAACAAGGUGUAAAUACUUGUCCAGUAAAGAGACCGUACGGUACUGCUGAUGGACGUCCCAACACAAUGCCAGAUGCAAAAACUUCUUUGGUGAUUGCUUUUGAUAACACUGAGUGGCUAAAGGUCUUCUUUCACAUCUUUGCCCACCUCAAAUCCUGAAGGCAAGGUCUCUGGAAUUUGAGGCUGUGCCCUCACAUGCCUCCAAGGCACCAACAAAGCAAAAUGAAGAGUCUGCACUGCUUAUCAGUUGACCCAACACUCAGUCCACAUUGGAGGGGAAGGGGUGGUGGGCUGAGGAUGUCUUCUUCCUGUCCAGGAUGCAAUAUGGUCAAGUUUAUAUUAUCUGGAAGCUAGUAUGAAAGAAAUAUUAAAAUUUCUUUUUUAAAAAUAUUUUUAUUAUACUUUAAGUUCUGGGGUACACAUGCAGAAUAUGCAGGUUUGUUCCAUAGGUAUACACGUGCCAUGGUGGUUUGCUGCACCCAUCAACCCGUCAUCUAUGAGAAACAAGAAUUUCAACACAGACGAACUUUCAUCUGCAUGCCACAUAUCCAUCACUGGCCUCUCCACAUUCACCCUCCACCCUUUUCCACCUUUGUUCUCUGCUUAGGAUGUUGACCUCUCUUGACUGCAUGGGUCAGGGCCUUCUUUCCCUACGGCUUCAGAGGAUAGGAGGAAAAUUGGGUUAGUUUGACCUCAGGCUGGCUGCAACCCUCUGGAUUGUGAAUUGCCUUGAGGAAGCCCAACUCACUUCCUUGGUCUUAGACCUGCUAUGGAGGGCCCCAUCUUGUAACCAUCAGGAAAAACUCGAGAGAAUCCCAGAGACACGAGUGCUGGCAAUAUGGAGCUAAUGAACCAAUCAGAAAACUGCUACCUCCAGACUUUUGAAGACGUGAGAAAAAUUAACUCAAUAUUUGCUCUAGCCAUUUUUAGAUGCAUUUGUUACUUGCAGGCGAAAGCCCUUCUAACUGAUACACUACCUCCAGAGACAAGUAGUAUAGACUCAGAAUGUCAUUAACAGAUCUGGACGUGAAGGAGGCAUAGAAAUAUAGAAAUAAGAUAGUGUUUCAGUCUUUCGUUACUGAGUUUCCAUCAGUUCUGGCUAAGUCUCAGAGAAUUUCAGAAUGCUGCAUAAUUAGAACUAAUUGACAAAUUUUCCCAUUCACUGAGUAGAACUUGUAUUGAUCAUUGGGACCCAGUUUGUUCCAGGG
rnacentral:lncRNA from 1 species